AAGAAACUGUGGGGCUUCCCUGGUAGCUCAGUGGUAAAGAAUCCGCCUGCCAGUGCAGAAGACGCAGGUUCAGUCCCUGGGUCAGGAAGAUCCUCUGGAGAAGGAAAUGGCAGCUCACUCUAGUAUUCCUGCCAGGGAAAUCCCACGGACAGAAGCGCCUGGUGGGUUACAGUCCACGGGGUCAGACACGACUUAGUGACUAAACAACAAGAUAUUACAUAAACAACACUAGAGAUGGUUUAAAGUAUACAGGAGGAUAUGCAUAGGUUACAUGCAAGUACUAUGCCCUUUUAAAUGAGGAACUUGAGCAACCACAGAUUUUGGUAUCCAUGAAGGUCCUGGAACCAGUUCCCCACAAAUACUAAGGGAUGACUGCACACGUAUAAAUAUAAAGAACAUCCAAGUGAGCAUACAUUUGAUGGAGUAUUCACCAAAAUGUUAAUAAUUUUCAUCUGUGGGUGGAAUGAUUAUUAAUAACGUUUGUUAUUUUCUUUCUUUGAAUCUGGAUCUUUAAAAAUAAACACUUAAACUUUCAGUUCUCUGUGACUCUUGCUGUAACUGUUGUUACUCAAACUCCUUUGUGUGAGCCUUGAGCAGACAUCUCUGUUCUUUCAGGCCGACAGCCAUCUUCUUUCUUCUUAUCAGUAGAUUCUCAUUACCUCUGGCCUUGCUUUAUGACUAUGAAGCCACAAGAAGGGAUUGCUUUUUCAUCACGAGGGCUGGAAUCCUCUCCGAGAUUGCUGAUAUCUGAGUUGUUAUCUGAUGUUUCCAAAGUUGCUGCUAUGGUGGGGAUGAAUUCUCUGGAGUCUAUUCCAGACUGAUUCUUUUCCUUUGUGGAUACCUGGCAGUACUAAAUUUCCACAGCAAUCCUUUAUGUUCUUUCCUUUGUCUGGCUAGGUGUUCAUACCUGAGAUGAUCUUGAACAUCAUGUUGAAGAUGACAGAGCAUGACUCUUUGAAUGACUUGUGAUCAGAGUCAUUCUGGCAACCUAGAAAUACUGUGGAUUAUUUCUGAAUGUGCACUGCACACACACACACACACACACACACAACACCAACAAAGCCAAAAGCAAACAAACAACAAAAACAGUUAUAUGCUUGAGCCAUUAUACUUUUUUCAGUCUGUUUGCUGUUGCAGAUAAUUGACUCUAACUAAUUCCCAAACUAUCAUUUUGUAAUGCAGCCGCCAGGCCAGUGUCCUUUCUCCCACUCUGCCUUACAUUUCGUGUCCCGGUCAGCCCAGCUGUACCCGUGUAUCAGAGUCCUUUAUGAGAACAGCUUCUUCAGAUGGUGCCCCAGUCUCAUUCUCCACAUGGCUCCCCUAAGAGUUUGUGUGGCCCAGCAGGCAACAUUCUUAGACACCUUCAUUGCAGUAUUCUUCCUUCCUCUUCUGUCUUCUCCUUAGAUGUGCAUAUUGAACUUUCUUUUAGCCGAAACCAUCAUUGACGCUUGAUUCAUAGAGAAGACUCUUAAUGCUAGCUCUUCCCAAUUGAUUAUCUGUACCGAGAUAGCUUGAGGCUAAGCGAGGACUCCCAUUAUACCUGCAAGAAAUUGUCUUUUUUCACGGGAUGUUUGUAAGCUGCUAAGUCUAAACUAAAUGAACUAAGAACCUCAGGCAUCAUGGUCAUAAAUGAGGAAGUGGGGUUUAGUGGGGAACACAUCAGAGGGACCUGGACUUGAGUCCUGAAUCGUGCUUAUCAAGAUGACAUUCUCUCUGACUCAAUUUCCUCAGCAGCAAAAUGGGGGGAAAAAAGGAAUUUCUACAUGAUAAGUGCAUUCUGAAAUAUAAAUGGGAUGGUCUUUAUAAUUUGCUUGGCACUUAAUGUCACAACUGGAGAAGGCGAUGUCACCUCACUCCAGUACUCUUGCCUGGAAAAUCCCAUGCGCGUAGGAGCCUGGUAAGCUGCAGUCCAUGGGGUCGCUAAGAGUCAGACACAACUGAGCGACUUCACUUUCACUUUUCACUUUCAUGCAUUGGAGAAGGAAAUGGCAACCCACUCCAGUGUUCUUGCCUGGAGAAUCCCAGGGACGGAGGAGCCUGGUGGGCUGCCAUCUAUGGGGUCGCACAGAGUCGGACACGACUGAAGUGACUUAGCAGUAGUGUCACAAUAACUGACAGGUAAAUUUGAUAAGAAGGAGAAAAGUGACAAUGAUAGAAAAAUGAUGAUAAAGCCCAUUGGGUUGAAAAUCUAUAGGAGGGAGGGAGAGGAAUUGAAAGAAAGAGAGAAACUUGAAUACUCAAAGGGUAGACCCCGACCCUGAAAAAGUUAAAUUACGAUCAGUGGUAUUUUAAUACUGCACGUGACUCACAGUUAUUAAAUGCAGCUUCAGAGCUAGCACGGCAAUUUAGUCUGCCAUGUCUACGGCGCUCAUUCCUUCACCUCCUCAAAAUUUUCAUUAUUCUCCUUUGACAUAUUUUAUGUGAAUGGAGAUAUUUUCAGCAGGUUAUUAUGCCCCAUUGCUAUAUUAGCACCUUCUAGAGUACUUCAUGAUUUCAUCUCCUUAGUAUGUAUUCCCAUGGAAACAGAAUAUAGUAUAACACAACUGAGAAGGGGCCCCAUACGCCUUUCCUAUGUAUAUCUUCAAGAACGACAUUAACUAGGGGAAUGAGGCUGGCAAUAUGGGGUUUAUUGUGAAUUUUCAUAGUGAUUCCUUUUGCAUCUCUCAAAGAGUUCUGUUUUUAAUAAACUUUACUAGAAACGUAACAUUACCAAAAAGUAUAAUCAAAUGCAUUGUAUAUGUAUGAAUCAUAAUAAAUGGGGAUUAGAUAAUGUUUUUGCUUACAUAAAUAGGCUGUUUCACAGUUGAUAUUUAUUUUUUAGUGGAAAAAUUUGUUUGGGUGAAGCAAGAGAAAGGCUGUAGAGUAGGGUUGACUUAUAUUCAAGUAAAAUUUAUGAAUACACAUGAAGUCAACCACAAUGUUCUCUCUACCCCGUGCAUUGCUCAAGCAUGGGCUCAGUUGGUAAGUUCUGUGGGCUCUAAGGAUUGCAGUCAUCUGAAUUCUCAUAAGGGAUUAACUUCAUGAUAUUUCUUAAAUUUGUUACCUUGAACACCUAAUUUCUCUUAGUGCUGGUUUUUCUCAUUUGUAAAACACAGCUGCUAAAAGUGGUGAGCCUAGCACGUGUGACAGAUGAAAGCAUAUCAUUUUGAGCACCCCCUUUCCUCUAAGUGGCAAAAUGAUUUUCAGUAAGAAUAAUAAUAAAAUGAAUGAAUAAUAAUAGGAAAAAAU
ensembl:lncRNA